GUAGCGUAUAUUAAAGUUGUUGCAGUUAAAAAGCUCGUAGUCGAACUUCGGAUCUGGCGGGAUGGUCCGCCUUACGGUGUGUACUGUCCGGCCGGAUCUUACCUCUUGGUGAAGCCGUAUGCCCUUUACUGGGUGUGCGGUGGAACCAGGACUUUUACCUUGAGAAAAUUAGAGUGUUCAAAGCAGGCCUAUGCCCGAAUACAUUAGCAUGGAAUAAUAAAAUAGGACGUGCGGUUCUAUUUUGUUGGUUUCUAGAGUCGCCGUAAUGAUUAAUAGGGAUAGUUGGGGGCAUUGGUAUUGAGUCGCUAGAGGUGAAAUUCUUGGAUUGACUCAAGACCAACUAUUG
rnacentral:rRNA from 1 species